rnacentral:tRNA from 1 species
AUCUUACUAGCUCAAUAGGUAGAUCAUUAUGCAAAUGCACAAAAGAUGUGGGUUCGAAUCCUACGUAGGUUA